UACGAAGGGGGCUAGCGUUGCUCGGAAUCACUGGGCGCAAAGCGCACGUAGGCGGAUUGCUAAGUCAGGGGUGAAAUCCUGGAGCUCAACUCCAGAACUGCCUUUGAUACUGGCAACCUUGAGUCCGGGAGAGGUGAGUGGAACUGCGAGUGUAGAGGUGAAAUUCGUAGAUAUUCGCAAGAACACCAGUGGCGAAGGCGGCUCACUGGCCCGGUACUGACGAUAAGGCACGAAAGCGUGGGGAGCAAACAGG
rnacentral:rRNA from 1 species